UGUCUGUUAAUAAAUUGAUGCCGUAGCUGAAUUAUAUUUUUUGUUUUAAACCACUUUGUGAUGACUGUAUAAGGUCAAACAAUGCAAUAUCCAAGAGAAAGUUCUCUCAUAAAUAAGCUUGUUGGUUCUGUUUGAUUUUUCUUGAACAAUCUUUGUGAGCCAGAAUUGCAAAAGCACUGGAUAUGAUUUCCUCACUCUUUUUUGUAACCAAUGUGUCCUCCUCUUUUAAUAUUCCCCAGUAGUUGCAGCUAUUCUCAGUUACUUGCAAUCUUGCACAGUGGAUAUGUUGGAUGGAAAAACAGCGAUGAAGGUCUGUUUGGGGUCAGGCUGUCUGUAAUGUUUUCAUUUCCUUUUUGUGAAUUUCAGGACUUAAAGGGGAAUUGCACUUUACAGAACUUCUGCUUCUCAUGACCCUUCUAAGGAAUGUCCUUCUAAGGAAUGUGUCACCCUUCAUUUUUCGAUUAAUUAUUUAAUUUUAAAUGUGUAACGUUAGAAACAAAGACCUAUUUCUUUUAGCGCACAUAGUAGUACGGUUUCCGGUUUUUUCUUCUUCGAUUUCUUUUCGCGGCAAAAUCGGAAAGAAGUGAAGCAAAACAUUUUGUUAACUUAGCAUUGAAGGCGAACAAACUAACGUCUGCUAGCUUUUGUUUGAUGCGAUAUCGGUGUAAUAAUGAGGUGCAUUGUAUCCGGUUGUUAUAAUGCCCCUGUUAAACUUGACUUGAAAGCACAUUUUCAUUGUUUUCCAUGCGAUGCAACUUUAUGCCAGACAUGGCUGGAUGUAAUCAGACACCCCGACAUAACAGCCGAAGAAGUUCACAAACGAGGACUAAAGGUAUGCAGCGACCACUUUGAAGGCACUGACUACCAAGCCAACCGCCUGAAGCCAGGAGCUGUACCUACCGUUUUCCCAUCGUUGGUCAAACCGCUCGAGGUACCCCCACAUCAGAAGUCGCGCAAUGAUAUGCAUCCUCGAGUUCGACACUAAACUGCCUGGGUCUACUUCCUGCAUUUGUAAAGGAAAACAACAACACGGUGUAAAAUAUUAACAUAAUGAAAUAACUAAUCGAAAAAUGAAGGGCGACACAUUCAUUAGAAGGACAAUAUCAGUCAUGAGAGGCAGAAGUGUUAUAAAGUGCAAUUCCCCUUUAAGCCAUUCAUUUAAGUCAUUUAAUGGCAAAGGAAACACAUCUGGUUCCCAAGGCCUAAACUGGCUGCUGAUUGAAAGGAAACCAUAAAAACCUGUGGACACUGCAGUGCUACCACACUCCUUUAUAUGUGCAUCCUAGCCUGUGGUGUUGGCAGGGUUUCUCUGAAUUAAACCACUGAAAGUACAAUGAAAGCAUCAAGGACAAAAAAAAAUCCCAUUCUGCUUGCUGGUCAGGAGAAGUAGAAAGCCUCCUUUGCUCACCAAAAAUGGAAAAGAUGGUGGCAAAGACCAAGUCCAUAUUACCAAGAGUCUGGUUAAAGGGGCAGUUCUUCAAAAAAUAAAAAAUAAAUAUUUCCACUUAUCUAGUGAGCUAUCCAAUUUCCCAGAGAUUUGAUGAGAUUUCUAGAUACUGCUUAUGCUGCAACAAUAUUUUAAAGCAAUAUUGACAAUGCUCCCCAGAAUACUGGCGUUCUUUGGUUUAAACUUUGCGUGGAUAUGCACAACUAGCAUACUUAAGUAGAAAGCAGUUUUUGAUGAAACCAUGCACAAGGUCUGUAGAUGUUCAUGAGUAACCGUGUCAUAUUUGUUAAGAGACAUUGCUGACCAGUUUUUCAGACGUUAAUAGUUGCCGCUUUGAGCGCCACAAACAUCAGCACUGUUGAGGUCUGUUAUAUCAGGGUGAGCUGCGGCUAGAUAUGCAGAUAUCUAGAAAACUUGUCUAAUCUGAGCUAAUCUAUCUGGAUAGAUAGAUCGAACUCUGGAUAACUGCCUGUUUAAUGUAAUGAAAUAACAAAAAGGACACUGCAAAUCACCUGUCUGAUAACAUGCAUCACAUAACUUUUUCAUCAUUGUUUUGCAAGUGAAAACAGCUAGGCAAUCAAAAAAAUUUAAAAAUUAUUUAUACUUAGUUUUAUUUAUUUAAGUUCUACUUCUCUAACUAAUAAGGUGGUUGUCCAUGGUACUAACUUGCACAGUGGGUAAGGAACUGGGCUUGUAACCAAAAGGUCCUAGGUUCGAUUCCUGGGUAGGCCACUAUUGUUGUACCCUUGAGCAUGGUAUUUAACCUGCAUUGUUUCAGUAUAUAUCCAGCUGUAUAAAUGGAUGCAAGUUGCUCUGGAUAACAGCGUCUGCUAAAAUGCCUGUAAUGUGUCUCUUAGAGGGUAUAAAGGGUUACUGUCAAUAAUGCUUUUUUAAGUGUUGACUGUCAGCAGGCAUACUUUUUCUGCAGAAAUAAAGACCCUUAUAACUGGA